AUGAGUUAGUUGUACAAAGAAAUAUGAUAUUUACUGGUAGAGUAUUUCACUUUGAUAAGAUCAAAAGCACUUACUUGGGAGAAGGAUAGCUCAAUUUUGAUUGAAGAUGGUUAUGAAUGGAGAAAGUAUGGACAAAAGAAGAUAAUCAAUGCAAAAUACCUCAGGAGCUACUACAGAUGCAGUUACAAAAGUGAUGAAGAAUGUGAAGCUAUGAAACAUGUGCAGAGAAUUCAAGAGGACCCUCCAUUAUACAGAACCAUAUAUUAUGGCCAUCAUAGUUGCAAAAUCUCUUUAUCAAAUUCUGAGAUCACAUUAUUGGAACCUAAUAAUACUUCAUCUAUGUUUCUUAGCUUCAAUGACAACCUCCAAAUCAAAGAACAAUAUCCUGCAUUUUCAUCACCACUUUCUGUACCAACAAAACAAGAGCCUAUAGAUGCUAUUAAUCCCUAUCAUAACCAAUUAACAUCAUCAGACUACCCUUUCUCAUGUGACUAUAAACUUGAAUUUGAUAAUUUCAGGCAUGCUACUAUGCUAUCAUCCACCAAAUCUGUUCCAUUUCAUGAUGGUUUUUAGUGACCUAAAUUAGGGUUGUGACAGAAGCUGUUUGUGAUUACCAAUGGUUUGCUCAACUCAAGCUUUAUCCUAUAUCAUGGAGACACGCCUCUACCUCCUCCUAUUUUAUCGAAGUGUAAUGUGGAUUGCGCUCUUUUAACUAACAAAGGCUGUUUUGGUCUUUGGAGACGGUAUUGUUUUCGUGAUAACUUGGGUUACGGUGCAUUUUUCUCUUGUAUUUUUCUCUUGUUUGUCAUGUGAUUGAAUGCGGGGUUAGUUGGAGAGUUUGGAAGUGUCUAAUCAUCUU